GAUGAACGCUGGCGGCGUGCCUAAUACAUGCAAGUCGAGCGAACAGACGAGGAGCUUGCUCCUCUGACGUUAGCGGCGGACGGGUGAGUAACACGUGGAUAACCUACCUAUAAGACUGGGAUAACUUCGGGAAACCGGAGCUAAUACCGGAUAAUAUAUUGAACCGCAUGGUUCAAUAGUGAAAGACGGUUUAGCUGUCACUUAUAGAUGGAUCCGCGCCGCAUUAGCUAGUUGGUAAGGUAACGGCUUACCAAGGCAACGAUGCGUAGCCGACCUGAGAGGGUGAUCGACCACACUGGAACUGAGACACGGUCCAGACUCCUACGGGAGGCAGCAGUAGGGAAUCUUCCGCAAUGGGCGAAAGCCUGACGGAGCAACGCCGCGUGAGUGAUGAAGGUCUUCGGAUCGUAAAACUCUGUUAUUAGGGAAGAACAAAUGUGUAAGUAACUAUGCACGUCUUGACGGUACCUAAUCAGAAAGCCACGGCUAACUACGUG
rnacentral:rRNA from 1 species